ACACUGGCAAGAGAAGGAAGUUACUGUCUAAGCUAUAAUGCUAAGCUCCAGUAGGAGACAGUUGUGCUCAGUGGAGGAAGAGCCACAGUGGUCACUUACAAUUCUGUAAGUUUGUUCCAGUGCAUCCGAUGCCUACAACUCCAAAAGGACCAACCACAAAGUGGUUUCCUAUAUGAACAGUCGUUACAGGAAUAUACGG